rnacentral:rRNA from 1 species
UGAGGGAAAUAUUGCACAAAUGGAGGAAACUCUGAUGCAGCAACGCCGCGUGGAGGAUGACGCAUUUCGGUGUGUAAACUCCUUUUAUGAGUCAAGAAAAUGACGGUAGCUCAUGAAUAAGCACCGGCUAACUCCGUGCCAGCAGCCGCGGUAAUACGGAGGGUGCAAGCGUUAUUCGGAAUCACUGGGCGUAAAGGACGCGUAGGCGGGAAGCCAAGUCUGAUGUGAAAUCCUAUGGCUUAACCAUAGAACUGCAUUGGAAACUGGUUACCUAGAGUAUGGGAGGGGGAGAUGGAAUUAGUGGUGUAGGGGUAAAAUCCGUAGAUAUCACUAGGAAUACCGAAAGCGAAGGCGAUCUCCUGGAACAAUACUGACGCUAAGGCGUGAAAGCGUGGGGAGCAAACG